GGGGAGAGGAGGUCAGGGAAGUCACGGCCAGAGAUUUUCUGAGCUGCAAUGUGACAGAUCCUUCCCGGAACCAGAAAGUGGUUUGCACUGGAGGCCGAAAGCAGGAUACCAGAGGCACUAGGGAGUACUGGAGAGGUGGGGCAAGUAUUAUGAAAAAUACUAUACUCAGGUGUGGUAACAUUGAUGUUUGACUGUUCACAGGACCCAACCAUGUUUAAUAGAUUCAGAUUGUUCUGCUUGAUCUAUAGAUGAAUCAGCAUCAACUGAUCUGGCAACUUCAAGAUCCAUCACUUUGUCAAGCUCCAUUACUU